GCAUUCGCACCGAGUGACUUCAGAGAGCGAAUGAAAGGAGACGCCUGCACAAUCCUGGCCUUCUUCUCCUCGAGAUGAAAGAGAGUUAAGAUGACAACAGCUCAGCAGAUGAAGAUGGAUCAUUUAGAAACAAUCAGAGCAGGAAAGUGACAAAGAAGCUCGGAUUUAUCACUCUUCAUUCAUAUGCAGCUUGUAUAUGUUUCUGAGAGAUGGUCCACACUUUCAUCGCCAUGCUGGACCCUGGUGUGCCGGGAUUGGCUGCUCUGUGUCUGUCAGUAACAGUCAGAACAACAAACAUGGUGAAAUGUCUGCAGCGAUUUCUUCUCCUCUGAGUUCAGUUUGUUCUCCCGGUGAGACAGACACCUCUCACCUCUCCAGAGGAGACCCGAGCAGGCUGCCUCAGACCACUCAAACUUCCUUUCUCAGGUCUCUCUGUGACCUUCGUCCUCGUCUCCUCCUCUCUGGCAGGACUCUGAAUGCUAAUCAGCUCUGACCUCUCCAUCUGGAUCCACUCAACAUCACAGCGCUCCACCUGUUCCACAUCUCCACCCAGGGAGGUGACAUUGAAGCCAGAGUUGAGUUUGGUUGUUGAAUUUCUUUUUUUAUAACUUUUUUGAUGAAAAUAUGCGUUUUUUCCUUCAUUUUCAUUAUUUUGGGAGCGUGGUGAAGCUGCUGCCUUCACCUUUGUCCUACAUUUAACAUUAAAGUCGCUGACACGUUCCUGUGCAGUAAAACAGGCUGGCUCUUCCUCACCUCCUGUUGUGAAGGAGAUUUAUCUGAAGUACUGACAUUAAUCCUGGACUGACUCAAAGCUUCAAACAGCAACAUGACAGUAACUUUAAAGUGCAACUAUUCUGCUCAUUUUCAUUCUUGGACUGUGCUAGAGGAGCUUUGCAUGAUUCGUGGUUUGAAAUAAUCCUUCUUUAUCUCACAGAUAGAAAAGAAGGUUUUCCGUCUCUGUGACAACAUUCAGAUCCAAGAGUUUAGGGCAGUCUGCAGAGCUUUGGCUCAGCUCACCGACAACCAGCAGGCCAAAGCUUUCCAGAAAACUCCAUCGUGGAAACGCUCAUCUGAGCUUUUGUUCAGCUUCAUGUUCAAUUUGCAUGUACAAACUCCAUCAGCCUGCAAUUACCUGAAGGGCCAAUUAGAUGCCAAAAUUAAUGAUGUAAUUGUUAUUAAUGAUCUGUCCUCCAUCUUUAACAUAUCAAAGGGAGGCUCAGUCAGUGGGUCUGAACACUCACAUCAAACAGCUCUAAUGGAAAAUCAAUCUGUGGGCAUCGAGUACAAGUCAGGGCUUUGGUUAAAAUUCAAACCAGCAUCGAUAUCCAUGCGUUUAAGGUCAUUUUUAUUACAUCACACAAAACUUUAUUAGUUUAUGUGUGAUGAUGUGUGCCAUCCAGACAGAGUGUCACUAACCAGAGCAGAAAACAAUCAGGACGGAUUUUCCCCUCAUUCCCGACAUUCAGCCCGUUAGCUUGGUGCCAUUUAAAGUCUCUGACAGACAAUCCUCAUGUUCCUGGGAUAUUUAACCUUAUAUGUGUCUGUUAUUAAGUGCACAGUGUUGUUGUUCAGCAGCUGCAGAUUCGAACAAAGAUGAAGGAUUCUUGAACAAAUGCUGGAGUUUGAUUAAAUUGAUCUACUUAAGGAAAGAAGUACCUUUAAAGAGUUAUCGGUUUAACCGUGAGAGAAAAAACCUGUGAAGGUUACUAUAAACACAAUUUUACAUUUUACUAUAAACUGAAAACUCAGUGACAGAAAAAUCUUUUUACAGUGCUGAUGUAAACUCACACAGGAUGAAUUAUUUUAAAGCUUGUUUAUCACUUUUCUUUUUGCAGAGAAAAAAAAGUCAUGAACAUGUAAAUUGUGUCUGUUUCAC